rnacentral:snRNA from 1 species
GUGCUGGCUUUGGCAACAUAUAUACUAAAAUUGGAACUGUAUAGAAAACAUUAGCAUGGCCUCUGGGCAAGGAUGACAUGCAGAUUCACAAAGAACAUAAGGAUAUGU